AGUUAAAAUUUUUAUCCAUUUUUAUUAUUAAAAAUUGAAGUAGCUAACAGAAUAACCAAAUAAUUAUACGUUGUGUGCCACAUGCAUCUCAUAUCAAUAUACAAUAACUAGUUUUUAACAAUGGAAAUAAAUGAAAUUUUUGGAUG
rfam:Gossypium raimondii Chr07_contig_643, whole genome shotgun sequence.